rnacentral:rRNA from 1 species
UACGUAGGGUGCAAGCGUUAAUCGGAAUUACUGGGCGUAAAGCGUGCGCAGGCGGUUUUUGUAAGUCUGUCGUGAAAUCCCCCGGGCUCAACCUGGGAAUUGCGAUGGAGACUGCAAGGCUAGAAUCUGGCAGAGGGGGGUAGAAUUCCACGUGUAGCAGUGAAAUGCGUAGAGAUGUGGAGGAACACCGAUGGCGAAGGCAGCCCCCUGGGUCAAGAUUGACGCUCAU